AUACGAAUCUAGCCCUGGAACCGAGUUGCGGGAGUGCGGUUUGUGUGGUUCCGGCCAGGAGUUUGCCGACUGCAGACGUCCUGCGAACCGGCAAAAUGUGCUCCCUGGGGUUGUUCCCUCCUCCACCGCCUCGGGGUCAAGUCACCCUAUAUGAGCACAAUAACGAGCUGGUGACGGGCAGUAGCUAUGAGAGCCCGCCCCCCGACUUCCGGGGCCAGUGGAUCAAUCUUCCUGUCCUACACCUGACCAAGGAUCCCCUAAAGACCCCUGGAAGGCUGGACCAUGGCACAAGAACUGCCUUCAUCCAUCACCGGGAGCAAGUGUGGAAGAGAUGCAUCAACAUUUGGCGUGAUGUGGGCCUUUUUGGGGUGCUAAAUGAAAUUGCAAACUCAGAAGAAGAGGGUAAGUAUUUUUCCCUCCAGCCUUGCCUAGUUUUGUGGUUAUCUCCCCUCCAUAUUCUUGAACUCACCCCGACACCUGUUGGCUCAGCCUCUUUUAGCCCUAUUUUUCCUGUCCUCUCCUCUACCUACCCAAAUAGCCCAGAGUGGGUGUCCAGAGU
rnacentral:sRNA from 1 species